rnacentral:rRNA from 1 species
AUUGAACGCUGGCGGCAGGCCUAACACAUGCAAGUCGAGCGAGCGGCGGACGGGUGAGUAAUGUCUGGGAAACUGCCUGCUGGAGGGGGAUAACUACUGGAAACGGUAGUUAAUACCGCAUACCAUCAGAUGUGCCCAGAUGGGACUAGCUCGUAGGUUGGGUAACGGCUCACCUAGGCGACGAUCCCUAGCUGGUCUGAGAGGAUGACCAGCCACACUGGAACUGAGACACGGUCCAGACUCCUACGGGAGGCGGCAGUGGGGAGUAUUGCACAAUGGGCGAAGGCCUGAUCCAGCCAUGCCGCGUGUGUGAAGAAGACCUUCGGGUUGUAAAGCACUUUCAGCGGGGAGGCGUUACCCGCAGAAGAAGCACCGGCUAACUCCGUGCCAGCAGCCGCGGUAAUUC